UUUUUUUUAAAACCCGAAAACGGCACCAUUGCUGGAUUGAAUACUUCCUUCGAUGUCUCUCGAAUCCUCUGCACUUUUCAUCCCCUCUCUCAACUCUGUCUCGUCUCUCGUCUCUCGCCGCUCGUCUCUCAAGUCUCUCAAAUCCUCCUCCUCAAGUCCCUAGCCGUGCCAUUGCGAUUGUGAAAUAGCGUGGGAUGACACUCAAAAGUCACACAGAUUGAGGCAUAGAAUACAUAAAUCGUCUGGGUCAUCUCAUAGGACUAUGAGCAGAUCUCUCUCAUGUGACUCGCAGUCUAAGGGGUCUGUUUCUACUCCUCGUGGGUCCGUGGUGGAUGCCAUACCCAACCCAUCAAAAGAGCAAUUAGUAGAUGUUGUUCAGAGGCAUUUCAUGUCACAGCAAAUCGACGAGUUGCAAGUCAUUGUGGGAUUUGUUUAGGCUGCAAAGAGAAUGAAGACUCUGUGCAAAUGACGAUUCACGAAGAGAGAAAUGAAGAGCUAUGAAUUUGGUUGUUUAUGCUAACAGAUACUGCACUUAAAAAAUAUCCACUCCCCUCUAGUGAUUGUCUGUAAUAUAUUUUAUCCAGUGGCUUGUCUCUGUCUUGCUUUAGUAGGUUAGUAUUACUUUGUACCGAGUUAUAGACGUUCUUACUUUAUUUUUUUUCUUCGAUUAAUUUUUUUAGAAAAUUCUUUUA